rnacentral:lncRNA from 1 species
CCAGAUCUCAUUCAUUUCACCACUUAUUAGUGGUAGUAUAGCCUCGCCCUCGGCUUACAUUAAUUCUCUAGUUUGCACAAACACAGAGAAUAAAAGUCCUUCCUUUGAAUAGUUUGCAACAUUUCUCUGUUGCCAAGUACCAAUCUUCAUAAUAAAUGUUUUUAUCAAUAAUACUAGAACGGUAUCUUGAAAGAUAAUAUGAGACCUAAAGCUUGUACCAGGGAUCUCAUUUCAUUUUCAUAAAUAGAUUGCAAAAGUUUGCACACUUACAAUUUCCUUUCCAAUUCCUUCUACAACAAACCCAGCAUUACAUCCUUAUAUUGUCUUCUGUUUUGCCUUCAUUACAAUCUUAUACAACAUCCAGAAAAUCACAAGCAUGUCUUUUACGUUUUUUACUUCAUGAUUGUCAGCCGUGACAAUCGUUGAGAGACAAACGAAAAUGAUGCAACUCAGAAUGCACAGUAUGGGAAGGAAGAUUCCUCAAUGGCGUGUGUUUGGAAAACAAAAUGUUACUGCAAAAUGCGAUCAAAUUAGUCAACGACUAGAUUCCUACUAUUCAAAACUGAUGGCACCAUGUUGAAGCUAAGAAAUUUCCGCAAAUCGAAACAACGAUCAAAUUAGUCAACGACUAGAUUCCUAGUAUUCAAAACUGAUGGCACCAUGUUGAAGCUAAGAAAUUUCCUCAAAUCGAAACAACUCGUCAUGGAGGCAAUUUGUGGGAAUCAAAAUACUCAGCAAGGAAGUCGGAAAUUCCAACUGCUCAUGUUGUCUGUCUGUACAUAAACAUACUGGAACACGUCACAUGUCGGACACAGACCAUAGAUAUGCUUCCCUUUCGGUUGCUUGUUUCUCAUUGGUCCUCUUGAACAACUGCUUCUCAU